CUUGACGACCAUAGAGCAUUGGAACCACCUGAUCCCAUCCCGAACUCAGCAGUGAAACGAUGCAUCGCCGAUGGUAGUGUGGGGUUU
rnacentral:rRNA from 3 species